rnacentral:rRNA from 1 species
ACUCCUACGGGAGGCAGCAGUGGGAAUAUUGCACAAUGGGGAAAGCCCAUCGAUGCAGCCAUGCCGCGUGUGUGAAGAAGGCCAAUUCGGGCUUGGUUAAAGACACUUUCAGUAGGGAGGAAGGUAGUGUAGUUAACACCUGCACUAUUUGACGUUACCUACAGAAGAAGCACCGGCUAACUCCGUGCCAGCAGCCGCGGUAAUACGGAGGGUGCGAGCGUUAAUCGGAAUUACUGGGCGUAAAGCGCAUGCAGGCGGCCUGUUAAGCGAGAUGUGAAAG